rnacentral:rRNA from 1 species
AGCGAACGCUGGCGGCAGGCCUAAUACAUGCAAGUCGAGCGGUCCCUUCGGGGGCAGCGGCGGACGGGUGAGUAACGCGUGGGAACGUGCCCUUUGGUACGGAACAACUGAGGGAAACUUCAGCUAAUACCGUAUGUGCCCUUCGGGGAAAGAUUUAUCGCCAUUGGAGCGGCCCGCGUUGGAUUAGGUAGUUGGUGAGGUAAAGGCUCACCAAGCCUACGAUCCAUAGCUGGUCUGAGAGGAUGAUCAGCCACACUGGGACUGAGACACGGCCCAGACUCCUACGGGAGGCAGCAGUAGGGAAUCUUGCGCAAUGGGCGAAAGCCUGACGCAGCCAUGCCGCGUGAAUGAUGAAGGUCUUAGGAUUGUAAAAUUCUUUCACCGGGGACGAUAAUGACGGUACCCGGAGAAGAAGCCCCGGCUAACUUCGUG